UACGUAGGCAGCGAGCGUUGUUCGGAGUUACUGGGCGUAAAGAGUGCGUAGGCUGUGGUCCAAGUCUGGUGUGAAAUCUCCCGGCUCAACCGGGAGGGUGCGCCGGAAACUGGGCUGCUUGAGUGCCGGAGAGGCAGGCGGAAUUCCUGGUGUAGCGGUGAAAUGCGUAGAUAUCUGGAGGAACACCGGUGGCGAAGGCGGCAUCCUGGACCGGUAUUGACGCUGAGGCGCGAAAGCCAGGGGAGCAAACGGG
rnacentral:rRNA from 1 species